GCCCACUGGUUUAUUCUAAAGGGCCGCAGUAUCCUAACUGUGCUAAGGUAGCAUAAUCAUUUGUUUCUUAAUUAGGGACUUGUAUGAACGGUUUAACGAAGAAAUAACUUUUUUUAGUUUACCAAAUGAAAUUUACUUUUUAGUUAAAAGGCUAAAAUUAUUUAAAAAGACGAGAAGACCCUAAAGAGUUUUAUAUAUAGAUUUUUAAAAACUAAUUUACAUAAUUCUCUUUAUAAAUUAAUAUAUUUGGUUGGGGCGAUCAAAAAAUAUAAAAAACUUUAUUUAUAAAACCUUCUUUAAAGAUUAAAUGAUCCAGUUUUAAUGAUUACAAGAAAAAAUUACCUUAGGGAUAACAGCGUUAUACUUAUUGAGAGUUCUUAUUGACAUAAGUGUUUGCGACCUCGAUGUUGGACUAAAAGUGUACCAUAAUGCAGCAGUUAUUGUUUAUAUGUCUGUUCGACCUUUAAUUUUUUACACGAUCUGAGUUCAGACCGGCGUAAGCCAGGUUG
rnacentral:rRNA from 1 species